rnacentral:lncRNA from 1 species
CUCUUAGACAAAGGGGAGAAAAAAAUUCAUGUCCAAACUUGGACAAAAGAGAGAGAGAGAAGGCCUUAACAACCAACCUUUGGUUAUUGGUAAGAAAGAAGAGAUAGGAGGAACCAAACCUCAUGCCUUGGUCCCUUGAUGCCGCACCUUCUUCUCUCCAAUAUUUUUCACACACGUCCCUUGUAUUUGGGCAUCCAAAAUUUGAUCACAUCAGGUUCUUCCCACCCCACAU